GCCUUCCGAUCUCCAGGAUGUAAGACAGGAGAAACAAAGGAGCGCCACCAUUUUCCUCUCCUGGGUUGGCCCGCCUUCAAUUCUCAAAGGUGUACUCUAAGAACUUGUUGCUCUACUAAUAAAAUAUUCUGUUUAUACCACGCUUCAGUCUCCCCAUUU